AAUAUUCAUGGGAGCAGCAAGGUACCCCUUGAGUAUUUCAUUCUGCGAAGGGAUGGCAAGUGACAUACGGCAGAGGUCUACCUGGCGGAUGGUGGAAGGCAUCGAGGUGAACGCUGGGAGCCAAUAGUCAAAGAGGAUCCAACGGAAGAGGCCAAUCGGAUGUCAGUAUUAGAAAACGUGAUGCCAGUCGGCUCGCUGCUUACUGCCAUAAACGGUGACAGAUGUCAGUAAACAAGAGGGGCGGCUUUAUCGAGUGGACAAUCACUAUUCACGCUCUUAUACGUGACGGCAGGGGGUUGAAGUUAUGUAGAGAGAGAGAGUGCCGUUUCAAGCCUGGCCACCCUUAAAUCGUCCCGAUCAUCGCGGCGGUAAACACCACCUAUUAUCUGUACUUAACGCGCACCCUGCAGAACCUGUCUCCACCCUCCUUACUACACUACAGCUCAUGCAUGGAAGAGUUCUACAUGUUACACUGGUAC